rnacentral:rRNA from 1 species
AGUGAACGCUGGCGGUAGGCCUAACACAUGCAAGUCGAACGGCAGCACAGAGGAGCUUGCUCCUUGGGUGGCGAGUGGCGGACGGGUGAGGAAUACAUCGGAAUCUACUCUGUCGUGGGGGAUAACGUAGGGAAACUUACGCUAAUACCGCAUACGACCUACGGGUGAAAGCCGGGGAUCUUCGGACCUUGCGCGAUUGAAUGAGCCGAUGUCGGAUUAGCUAGUUGGCGGGGUAAAGGCCCACCAAGGCGACGAUCCGUAGCUGGUCUGAGAGGAUGAUCAGCCACACUGGAACUGAGACACGGUCCAGACUCCUACGGGAGGCAGCAGUGGGGAAUAUUGGACAAUGGGCGCAAGCCUGAUCCAGCCAUACCGCGUGGGUGAAGAAGGCCUUCGGGUUGUAAAGCCCUUUUGUUGGGAAAGAAAUCCAGCCGGCUAAUACCUGGUUGGGAUGACGGUACCCAAAGAAUAAGCACCGGCUAACUUCGUG